CACCACUUGGUGCAGAUAAGCCAUCAGGACACGGUUUAGUACACUCCCGCAACCUGCGGGGGCGGUGGAAAGACCGUGAGGCUAAAAGGAG
ncrna:unclassified sequences RT-18 RNA